CCCUUAGAUGUUCUGGGCCGCACGCGCGCUACACUGAUGCAUUCAACGAGCCUAUCCUUGACCGACAGGUCCGGGUAAUCUUUGAAUCUGCAUCGUGACGGGGAUAGAUUAUUGCAAUUAUUAAUCUUCAUCGAGGAAUGCCUAGUAGGCGCAAGUCAUCAGCUUGCGUCGAUUACGUCCCUGCCCUUUGUACACACCGCCCGUCGCUCCUACCGAUUGGGUGUGCUGGUGAAAUGUUCGGAUCGGCCGUUUGUCGCGGUUUCCGCGUCAUGUGGCUGAGAAGUUCAUUAAACCCUCCCACCUAGAGGAAGGAGAAGUCGUAACA
rnacentral:rRNA from 1 species